UACGGGGGGGGGCAAGCGUUUGUUCGGAAUUACUGGGCGUAAAGGGCGUGUAGGCGGCCAACUAAGUCCGACGUGAAAUCCCCAGGCUUAACCUGGGAACUGCGUCGGAUACUGGAUGGCUUGAAUCCGGGAGAGGGAUGCAGAAUUCCAGGUGUAGCGGUGAAAUGCGUAGAUAUCUGGAGGAAUACCGGUGGCGAAGGCGGCAUCCUGGACCGGCAUUGACGCUGAAGCGCGAAAGCUAGGGGAGCAAACGGG
rnacentral:rRNA from 1 species